rnacentral:rRNA from 1 species
CACGUAGGGCGCAAGCGUUGUCCGGAAUUAUUGGGCGUAAAGAGCUCGUAGGCGGUCUGUUACGUCUGCUGUGAAAACUCGGGGCUUAACCCCGAGCUUGCAGUGGAUACGGGCAGACUAGAGGUAGGUAGGGGAGAAUGGAAUUCCCGGUGUAGCGGUGAAAUGCGCAGAUAUCGGGAGGAACACCGGUGGCGAAGGCGGCUCACUGGCCCGAUACUGACGCUGAGGUGCGAAAGCGUGGGGAGCAAACAGG